UGAUGAAAAACAUACCACUAAAAUCUUACCACCUUUCUCCCCAAAGGUGUCUAUUUUGGGGGUUUGGGGUUCCUGCCUGCUCCUGUAGUCCACCGUGUUCGAGGACUGGGACCUUUGCUCUGAUGCUGAUUGAUCUGAAGGUUUUCAUCAGACCUGUAUAUGUUUACUCAGGGAUCACAGGACACCAACAGUCAGGAAUAAGGCCUUUAUUUCAGAUGAGAAACAGAACCUUCUCUGCAGUUUUUCCUCAUUCCUGCUGGUUUUACAGCCGUGGUCGUCUUCCUCUUUACUUUUCACUUUCUGUUGCGGGUUCUGCAGUCUGUGCGGCUGCUCUGUUGUUUUUGUCCAAUGAUCAAAGGUGGAGCUGAAACAGAAGAAUUGAUUUCAGGUUUCUCGGACCUUCGUGUCUCACCUUUAACCACUGAGAGAUCCAUAUAAUACAGUUCGUCAUUGAAGAUUCCAGGGAUCUUCACUCUGCAUGCGUACAGUCCAGAAUCUUCCUCUGUGACGUUCCGGAUGGUCAGAGAAACAUCUCCUUGGUCCAGACGUCCCAGCAGCUGAUACCUACUGGAAGCUCUGCUAUCUUCCUUCACUCUGGAUCCGUCAGUGGCGAUGAGCUCAUUUCUGCAGCCUAAGAAGUAUUGUCCUUCUUUGCCCCAGCACAUUGG